AGUGGGGAAUAUUGCACAAUGGGCGCAAGCCUGAUGCAGCCAUGCCGCGUGUGUGAAGAAGGCCUUAGGGUUGUAAAGCACUUUCAGCGAGGAGGAAGGCGUUGUUGUUAAUAGCAGCAACGAUUGACGUUACUCGCAGAAGAAGCACCGGCUAACUCCGUGCCAGCAGCCGCGGUAAUACGGAGGGUGCAAGCGUUAAUCGGAAUUACUGGGCGUAAAGCGCACGCAGGCGGUUUGUUAAGUCAGAUGUGAAAUCCCCGAGCUUAACUUGGGAACUGCAUUUGAAACUGGCAAGCUAGAGUCUUGUAGAGGGGGGUAGAAUUCCAGGUGUAGCGGUGAAAUGCGUAGAGAUCUGGAGGAAUACCGGUGGCGAAGGCGGCCCCCUGGACAAAGACUGACGCUCAGGUGCGAAAGCGUGGGGAGCAAA
rnacentral:rRNA from 1 species